GGACGAACGCUGGCGGCGUGCUUAACACAUGCAAGUCGAACGGAAAGGCCCUGCUUUUGUGGGGUGCUCGAGUGGCGAACGGGUGAGUAACACGUGAGUAACCUGCCCUUGACUUUGGGAUAACUUCAGGAAACUGGGGCUAAUACCGGAUAGGAGCUCCUGCUGCAUGGUGGGGGUUGGAAAGUUUCGGCGGUUGGGGAUGGACUCGCGGCUUAUCAGCUUGUUGGUGGGGUAGUGGCUUACCAAGGCUUUGACGGGUAGCCGGCCUGAGAGGGUGACCGGCCACAUUGGGACUGAGAUACGGCCCAGACUCCUACGGGAGGCAGCAGUGGGGAAUAUUGCACAAUGGGCGGAAGCCUGAUGCAGCAACGCCGCGUGCGGGAUGACGGCCUUCGGGUUGUAAACCGCUUUCGCCUGUGACGAAGCGUGAGUGACGGUAAUGGGUAAAGAAGCACCGGCUAACUACGUGC
rnacentral:rRNA from 1 species